UACGUAGGGUGCAAGCGUUAAUCGGAAUUACUGGGCGUAAAGCGUGCGCAGGCGGUUUUGUAAGUCUGACGUGAAAUCCCCGGGCUCAACCUGGGAAUUGCGUUGGAGACUGCAAGGCUGGAGUCUGGCAGAGGGGGGUAGAAUUCCACGUGUAGCAGUGAAAUGCGUAGAGAUGUGGAGGAACACCGAUGGCGAAGGCAGCCUUCUGGGCCAACACUGACGCUCAUGCACGAAAGCGUGGGGAGCAAACAGG
rnacentral:rRNA from 1 species